UUGUCUCAACUGAGAAUACAAAGAUAAAACAAAGUGCGAUAUAAACAAACUUACCUGGCCACUGAGCGAGAGCAACAGGUUGGAAAAGCGCCGGUAUGAAAUUUCCCGAAAAUCCCGAUAAAAUCCAUGAAAAUCUUUAUCGACCCCGCACAAACAAAAGCGAAGCGUCUUCAAGAGAAUCGACAAUGGCCGCUGAAGGAUCUAGUAGCCUUGAAGCUUCUCAGAAAACUUCAAAGUAAUUUGCGCAACCAUCUAGUGCAGACGCCGUGUCGAUCGUCGCACCUUUUCUACUACACGCGAUUGAAUCGAAACGUACGUCGACAGUUCUCCGAAGCUUUCAAGCAAGACAAAUCAAGAAAAAAUGGUGGCUAACCUUUCUUACCAGUGGGAGGCUGAGCUGAGAAUUGUCAACUUACCUUUGGAGUUCUUAUCAGAUUAUCAGGCUUAUCCAGCAACUCCUCAGAGACGACCACAGGCGAUCUGAGCCGACCGUUAAGGAUUAUUUACAACAAACAUUUAAAAACAUAGCUAAAUCCACUUCAAAGGAUACGUAUUCCAAUGAUGGGGCUGCGCCAUUCAACACCGAGGUUGUAUAGGCAAACCACUGGUCCACCAUAUCCUCUCCGCUGAUAUUGUAUUUCAAACACAAGUCCAAACCUGACAAUUUUGGAACUGAGUAUAACCGCUAAAAUCACUUCAAACUAAUCACUUACAUUUCGAGACCACUUCGUUAGUGGGCUUUAUGUUGAACAAUUCAAACUGACCGGUAAUAUCGUCUACUGAAGCCAUCAGCCGGCGUUAAUAAUUAACAAAAUAAAGAAACACUAUCACAAAACAAUUA